rnacentral:rRNA from 1 species
CAAGUCACGGGGGCUGGAGCAAUCCAGCAACCGGCGAACGGGUGCGUAACACGCGAACAACCUGCCCUCGUGUGGGGGAUAGCCGGGCUAACGCCCGGGUAAUACCGCAUACGUUCUCCUGGGGGAGUCCCUGGGAGAGGAAAGCUCCGGCGCACGGGGAGGGGUUCGCGGCCUAUCAGCUUGUUGGCGGGGUAAUGGCCCACCAAGGCGACGACGGGUAGCUGGUCUGAGAGGAUGGCCAGCCACAUUGGGACUGAGAGACGGCCCAGACUCCUACGGGAGGCAGCAGUGGGGAAUCUUGCGCAAUGGUCGAAAGACUGACGCAGCGACGCCGCGUGUGGGAGGACGCCUUUCGGGGUGUAAACCACUGUUGCCCGGGACGAACUGCUCCAUUCGUGGAGCUUGACGGUACCGGGUGAGGAAGCACCGGCUAACUCCGUGCCAGCAGCCGCGGUAAUACGGAGGGUGCGAGCGUUGUCCGGAAUCAUUGGGCGUAAAGGGCGCGUAGGUGGCCCGGUCAGUUCGUGGUGAAAGCGCGGGGCUCAACCCUGCGUCGGCCAUGAAUACUGCCGCGGCUGGAGCACUGUAGAGGCAGGCGGAAUUCCGGGUGUAGCGGUGGAAUGCGUAGAGAUCCGGAAGAACACCGGUGGCGAAGGCGGCCUGCUGGGCAGUUAGCUGACAGUGAGGC